rnacentral:rRNA from 1 species
AUUGAACGCUGGCGGCAUGCCUUACACAUGCAAGUCGAACGGUAACAGGUCUUCGGAUGCUGACGAGUGGCGAACGGGUGAGUAAUACAUCGGAACGUGCCUAGUAGUGGGGGAUAACUACUCGAAAGAGUGGCUAAUACCGCAUGAGAUCUACGGAUGAAAGCAGGGGAUCGCAAGACCUUGUGCUACUAGAGCGGCCGAUGGCAGAUUGGGUAGUUGGUGGGAUAAAAGCUUACCAAGCCGACGAUCUGUAGCUGGUCUGAGAGGACGAUCAGCCACACUGGGACUGAGACACGGCCCAGACUCCUACGGGAGGCAGCAGUGGGGAAUUUUGGACAAUGGGCGCAAGCCUGAUCCAGCAAUGCCGCGUGCAGGAUGAAGGCCUUCGGGUUGUAAACUGCUUUUGUACGGAACGAAACGGUCCUGGUUAAUACCUGGGGCUAAUGACGGUACCGUAAGAAUAAGCACCGGCUAACUACGUGCCAGCCGCCGCAGUAACAC